rnacentral:lncRNA from 1 species
AUUUCUUCUCUCUUCCACCUGAUAGACUUCUACUCUUCCUUCAAGGGUCAGCCCGAGUGGCAUCCUUUUGAAGUUUCUUCUGUCUCCCUGACCAGCUGUGAGCCCUCUAGGGCCAAGACAGUGGCUUCCUAACCUGGUCUGGGCACUUUAACACUAGCACAGGACUUGGCACAAACCAGUGAACAGAAGAACAGAAAUCAGAAUUCUGACAACAUAACAGAAGGCAGAAGUCCUUGUGAGUCAUUCUCGGAGACCAUAGGGCAGAACGCAAAGAACAUAACAUAGGAGUCAAAUGGAGCCGAACACUUCAGUCACUCACGUGAUGGCUGUGUGUCCUUGGGCUCUACAAGAAGCAUGGUAUCAGCAUCUGCUUCUGAUGAUGCCUCAGGCUGCUUCCACUCAAGUUGGAAGGAAAAAGGGAGGCUGCAUGUGCAGAGAUCACACGGAGGAGGAGGAAGCAAAAGAGAAGUUUCUAGCUCGAAAUCACGUAUGGAAGCUGAGUCACCUCCGUUUCUCCUGGAGCCCGAGCUGGCUGUCACCGAGACCUUGCUCAUUAUGCAGACUCAUUCACAUGCAUACCCAAAGCAACACUUGACGGUUGUGGAAGAUUUCCAUCCUCACAGGUCAUGAAAUGCGUCUCCACUGGAAUACUGGUUGUUUAUCACCUACACUAACGAUUUACAAUGGCCUAAGUGUUGUAUUCCUAGUGACUGUAGUCUGAAUCAAAAACUCCUGCCCUGAAGCAAGGACAACUUCUUUAUUCACAUGGAGAAUGAUAGCAGGGAAAAGGCAAAAAUUUAACAAUAACGAAGAAAAAUCCCUCUUUUUCUAUGUGCAGAAUAAAAAUCUUAUUAAAAUAAGGGUUCUGUGGAUGAGGCAUGGUGCUUGGCACAGACUGACACAAGUUUGGGCAAACUUGGCAGAGCAGCCUAACCCAAAGCGAAAAACAGAAAUGAACCAAGAUACAACCUCUGUGGAAAACCCUACUGAACAAAAGCAACUCUGUGGAGUGUCCUCUCAGCUGCAAAUUGAGACAGAAUUGUGGGGCAAGCUUGGCCACUGAUGCAGGUGAUGGGCCCGGGGCUGGGAUGAACAAUGGGGACGAUUCUGCAGCUUGCUACACAGAAAGCCAGAGACCGAGAGCCAAUGACUGAGACUAUGAGUAUUGCCAAGGAAGAAGGCUUUAAUCGGGUGCUGCAGCUGAAAAGAUGAGAGCUCAGCCUCAAAUCCAUCUCCCUGACCAACUAAAGCUAAGGAUUUAUAUAGCAGGGAAGAAGACAGGAACUAGGAAGGGGCAAGGAAGCGAUCCUGAUGAAUGAAGGGUCAGGCAUUUCAUUGUCUGGAUGUGGCGAUCUGCUCACACUGGUCACACCUGGGACUUCCAACAUGAAUGCUUUUGUCACGGAUGCUGCGCUGCUGCUGUUUCUGGUUCUUACUCUGCUUACACCAAGGAGACUGAUGUCCCUGCUAUAACCCCACUUCCGAUGCAGACAGCAAUUCCAAUGCAUUGCAGCUUUCAGGAUUUGGGAGAGAAGAGAGGAAGGCAGAGAAGGCCUGAACAAGCCUGGCUGGGGAGGGCUCCCAGAGUCCUUGUGACAGAGAUGACUCUACCCACACUUGGGAGACUGAUGUGUCAGGAAAGCAUGCACAGGUAAGUGAGAUGCUAGGUCAACGAAUCAGCAAAGAGAGUCGGAAGGGAAUCUAGGAGUUGAU